rnacentral:lncRNA from 1 species
CACUUAAACACGGCGGAUGGCCUCGCAAAUCCGGAGGAAGAACGUCUCUUGAUCCACAAAGAGUCCAUUGAUUUGGCAGCACUUGGAAUUUGCGAUGAUUGAGAGGGAAAACGUCUCACGAUCCACCACUUCGACUUGACAACUUGAAGAUUCAGUAACACACACUUGAGGAUUUGAUGACUUGAAAGGUUGAGGGACUUGAUGUAGACUUGAGGGACUUGAAGUAGAAUUUCUCCAGCAGCGACUUGAAGCGAAAUUUCUCCAGAAGCUUGUCUCAUCUCCUGUUUGUCCGUAUGUCC